UCCGUGAAAGAUGACGAAUUGGUCUAGUCUCAGAGGCCAUAGGGAUAUCGUUAUGAUACCCACACCUGGAGCGCCAAAUGGUGCUGAUGGACAACCAUCGGCCGAUCAUUAUCAGGUGAAUUCCUCAAGCUCGAUGUUGACCGGAGGAAAGAAAAGAAGUCAGAAAGCUAAAGGAAAAGGCAUCAAGAAACAGUGCCUGACCCGGGUAACCGGUGGAGAAGAGAGUGUGGGAGAGCUUACUGUAGAGCAUAGUGGGAAAAACUUGACUGACCAAAUCAACAGAAGGACGUGUAAAGUAAAUUCCCUUAACUGAACUUAGCCAUUCACAUCCAUGAGAAAGAUUUUCUCUGUCUCUUACUUCGACACUUGCUUUGUGUGUAUUUGAUGACAUAAAGGUCAAGGAAAAACAUUGGGAUCGGCUACGUAACUGUCCAGAAGUUAUAUCCAUCAUCAAGCAAAUUGAAGAGAAAUGGCCACUGCUAUCUGAUCUCGAAAAAAUUAAGGAGAAUAGGAGUGAAAUCCUAACCAAGUUCAAGGCAGGCCGUUUAAAAGAGGAUGGGGCGAAGCAGGAAUUGGACAAACUAAAGGAGAGGCUCAAUCAUGUAGAUGGACAACUACAGGUGUGCUAAUGUUUACGAAUCGAAUUACUGAGUUUGGUUUCAUGAUCUAAUUGUCCAAUUUAACUUUGGUUUUUCAGGAGUUGCACAAAGCAAACAAUCUUGAGGUAAGCACAGUAACAAUAUAAUUACUAAGUUCGAUAUCCUCUUGAUCUAAUGAUUUAACUUGGUUUUUCAGGAGUUGAACAAAGUAAAGAACCUUGAGGAAAUGUUCCUUAAUGAGGUAUGCACAUUUCUUAUCAUUGAUAUUAACUAAUAUAGGAGGGCAUAGUACCAAAAAAGUCCCAUCUCCUUAUCCACUAAACUUGUUUUUAGACAUAGCAAAAAGUACUUUUUUCCAGCUAUUUGUUUGGAUUCGGGUUUAUGCAUUGUAUACGUAUUUGUGUAUUUGAAAAUAUACUUAUAUUCAAAUAUGUGUUGCUACGUUCCUCAUUUAUAAAUCCAAUCACAAUGUAAUAUGUUUCUUCAUUCACUACACUUAUUUUCUAGAUUUAAUAAGAAGUCAUUUUCAAUUAUAUUAGUUGAAUUCGAAUAUGAAUGUUUUUAUGUGGGUCCAGUAUAAUCUUAAAAUGUUUAAUUUCUUUUUUUUAAAUAAUAUAUUUUAAAAAACCUCGAAAAUUAUAUUCUAAACCAAUAUUCAUAAAUGUGUCAAAUACCAACAUCAAGUCACAUAGCUUGAAAAUACUAUAUAUGUUGAAUCAUAUUGCUUCAUAUCAAUUUGUUGUCUACCCAUAUCUUCUUUUUCCAGGUCUCAAUAUCUAAAGUUAUCCUUAGACUUGCCCUUAUUUGCAUCUUUAAUAAUUUGUUUAUAUUUCUCCUAAAUUUCAGGAUAAUGACCUGGAGACUCUUCAAAAAGAGGUAUGUCAUAUAUAUAUAUAAAUGAAAUUGGUAGGUGAUUAUCCGUAGAUUUGAAAACUUGAAUUUCGAAAAUAGCAUUAGACAUAAAUGUUAUUUAUCCAAUGGUUUAAAACAUAAUUUGGUGCUUAAGUUUAAUUUUUUUUUCUAAUAUAGUAUUUAUAUUAUUUUUUAAUGCAUCUGAUUUCAUAUUUGAUAAAAAGUAUUAUAGAAGUGUUUAUAUUAGGAAUUAGAUUGCAUUUUGCCUCCUUAUUAAAAAAAGAGACAACUUAGUCCUUAUAAUUAGAUCAAAGAGCAAAUUGGCUAUUCUAUUAAAGAUUUCAUACAUUGUUAUUUUUAAAAACUAGUCUCUGUAUGCCAGCAUGGGUACACGUGACACGUCACGUGUCACUAUAUGGUUAUUUCGUUAGUCAUGUCAAUUUUAACAUUACAAAUAGAUGCAAUUUUUAACAGAAAUCACUAGUUUAAUUUGCUUUUUAAUUUAACAUAUAAUGAUUAAUUUGCUCAUUUUUUUAAUAGAGGGAGGCAAAAUACAAUCUCACUCCUCAUAUAGGAAUUUCCAUGGUACUUUUACGAAAUUAUGACAUGUUUUUUCGUGUUUGUUAUUUCAGUAUUAUUCUAUAUAUCCACGAAUGAAAGAAGUUGUUGCGCCUGAUGAUCAUGGAAGUUUGCUAAUUCCUGAAGUAUUGUCUAAAAUGAAUGAGUUGGAAAACGAAAUUUAUGCCAAAGACGACAACAAAGUGAAUGUUCAAGACUUCAAUGGCUUACAACAAGCAUUGAACAAAAAUUUCAAAACUUGCACCGAUGCACGGGUGAAGGCUGCUCAAGCCGAACCCCAUGAUAAUAAAGGUGAAGAUGUUGAAGGAGAUGAUUCGGUUCCACCUCCCGCACAAGCUCCACCACAAUAUCCAAUUUUUUCUGCCGAAACGUUAGCUAUACUCAACGUACUUGGCUCUUUGAGAGAUGAUAUUAGUGGCAUCCGUGAUGAAGUUCGAGGCUUAGGUGCUAGGAUGUCUACAUUGGAGAAACAUAUCGCUUAUCUUAUGUUUCAAUUCUCUCCACCACAGCCUCCUCAGUAUAGCUAGGACUCAUUUUGCAUUCAUGGAUUUUCAUGUUUUAUUUGGAUGUUUUACAUUGUUUUCCUAUCUCUGUGCUUGUUGCACUUUAAUGAUUACUUAGUAUGCUUAGGUGCUGCGAUGUCUACAUUGGAGGAACAUAUCGUUUAUCUUAUGUUUCAAUUCCCUCCACCGCAGCCUUCUCAAGAUAGCUAGGACUCAUUUUGCAUUCAUGGAUUUACAUGUUUUAUUUGGAUGUUUUCCAUUGUUUUCCUAUCUCUAUGUUUGUUGCACUUUCAUGAUUACUUAGUAUUUUAUUUUAUUCAUUUAAAAAAUUGGAUAAAUUAAAUUUUGUAUAUUAAAUCAAGAGAAAAUCAAUUCUUUUUUGUUAAAAAUUCCGUUCGGUUGUACUGUUAAAAAUUGGCGUAGUUAACAUAUAAAUGACCGAUUUUUAAUAGUAAAAAUGAAUAAAAUUUCUAACAAAAGCAUUAAUUUAUUCUUUAAUCUGAUAUACAUAGAUUAAUUUACUCGUUUUUUAACAGAAAGGAUAGUUUUACCAAUGUUUUAGAGAGCAUCAUUGUUAAAUAAAUGCAAUUUUUACCUCUCUUUUUUUAAAUACAAGUGCUUGACUACCCAUUUCUUUAUUGAAUAAACAUUUUUUUUUGCUGAAACGUUUGAAAUGAUUAUAACUUUUACGUAACCACCAUUAUACUCAUUAUCUAUACAAUUUGCUUUCCAUUUUUCCAUGUUGAACCCUGUUUAGCAUUUCCAUUCUUACUUUCUCAUUUUAAUAGUCCUUUACUAACUUUUUACCUAAAGCUUAUAAAUAGGGGUUUGAAUGUUUUGUUGGGGGACUUUUGGAUAUUGUGGCAAAUUUAAAACUUUAUAAUUUUAUCCGUAGCUCUCAUUUUUCUCAAUCCAUUACCACCACUUGUUUAGAGUUUACCUUAAUAUUUCUCUCCACUAUUUCUCCAAGAUAUUUCAUUUUGUUAGAUUAUAACGUUUUCUCACUUUGCUAACAAAACUCUUUACACCUUCCUUGAAGUGCCUUUUCUCAACUGACAAUAGCUAAGGACAGUUUCAAAAAAUACUUGAUACGGUCCGAAAAUCCUUACAGUAACAAUGGUGAUAAAAUCAUGAGAAUAGUUUUUAUCUCCGUAGUAGACACUAACAAUACCUAGUAGUCACCUUUUUUUUUUCAAAGAAAAAGCUGUAAGAAUUGUUUAUCUCCAAAAAAAGCAAUAUCUUGAAAUGUGUAUUCGUAUUACAUGUUUCUUAAUACUUGUUUAUAUUUGGUGAAAUGUAGGACGACAUGGCAUAUAUGGAAUCUGUGAUCUUGAUUUUCCAUCAGAUGAUAGAGAUGAAAGCCUCUCCUCUCUUGCCAAAAGUUCUCGGCUCCCACAAGCAAAUCAAAUCGCAAUGUCCAGUUCGAUCUGAUCUUGAUGACAUUAAGCGAAAGGUCCUUGAAAUCGAGCUCGAGUUCAAGGAUACUGAUUUGACAGAUGAGGCAAAGCGAAGAUUACUUGAAUUAGAAGAGGAGUUUAAAAGAUUAGAUCAAAAAUGGAUGAAGGUACGGUAUUGUUUACAAAUUUAAUUACCACAUUUAGUUUCAUGAUGUAACAUAUUAUUCUGACUCUGUAACUUGGUUUUUCAGGACAUGACAAAAGCUGGGAACCUUGAUGCAAUCUUCACUAAUAAUAUGGUAUGCACAUAAACGUUUCUUAUGAUUGAUAUUAACCUAGAUUAUUAUUCUUGAAUAAAAUGAUCAUUUCUCAUUUAUAAAUCACAUUAUAAUUAUAUUUUUCUUUCCUCAUUCAUUAGACUUGUUUUUUAGAUAGUAAAAAUGAUAAAAAUAUCAUAGAGGGUCUUGUACUAAAAAUCAGAUUAUAUUUUAUCUGCUCUAAAAAAGAUAGGAGAAUUAGUCAUUAUAUGUAAUAUCAGAGCAAAUGGCUCCAUUUGUUAUAAAUUUUUAUUUAGAUCUUUUAUAUAAUUUUUAAAAUUUUAAAUUAAUAAAAAGAAAAUUAUUUUUUAAUUAUUUUUUUAAAAAAUAAAAAAUUAAUUUAAUUCUUUAAAAAGUAUAAAAAUACGAGUUAACACAUAAACUUUCUCUUAUGUAGUCAAUUUUUAAUUUGAAAUUUAUUUUUAUGUGGAUAAUGUCAUGCCGUGGACCAUGGUUUGACAGACGCCACACAUGUAAGAAUGCUAUCGAUUCGAUUUUGGAUUCGGUAUUUUUUUUUUAUUUUUUUUUGCUUCGAAAACUGGUAUUCAUUAAUAAAGGAAUUGGCUGAAGAAAAUAUCUGACAACACAAACACUCCAAAGAAAAUGAAAAGACAACAGAAGUAGAUACUGCCAAAACAAAACAGGAAAAUGAAAGAACACCGAAAAUCAAAAACCAAAAACCAGAAAACACAAGCAAUCCCCAAAAGAACAACCAACAAAGAAUACCAGUCAAAACCUUUCCGUUUAUCAUCAGAAAACCAUCGCAGCCAAAACGGUAAAGGAAACAGCUUUGAAAAACCAACAUUGGAGAUUCAAAGAACCUUCUCCAAACUUCAAAGCCCAACGGAAACACCUCAUCGCUGAAGUAACCAAUCAGACCAGUCCUCUGCCACCAAUUUUCCAACAGAAGCUGAUGCCUCUUCAACCAAAAAACAUAGUGUAACAAAAUGAGUUUGAUUUUAUGAUUUUUGAAUAUUAUUUUACAAAAUUUUAAAAUAUUUUUAAAAAACAAAUAACUUUUCAAGAAGUAUUGGAUAAUUUUUACUACUUUAAAUAUAAAAUAUUUUUAUAUCAUAAAAAUUAAAAUUAAUUAUUAAAUAAAAAAUGUAAUUCGGAUUAAUUUCGUGUAAUCCUAUUUUUUAAACAUACAUUUUAUAAAUCGCCCAAAUAGGACCAAAGACUAUGGAGGACUGAAACUGCAAGGUAUGCACAUUUGAAAGCGCGGAAGCCAGGUUGGACCGCGCGAAAGUGAACCGAGCGGACGACUGCGGUUAACUGUGGAAUAAUGUUACUUUAAAAUUUUAAAGACAAUAAAAAUACUUUCACUUUGUGCGCUUUCAAAUGUACAUACCUCGCAGUUUCAGUCUUCUGUCUGUACCAACCAUAGAAUGGGUGGGAGAUGUUACAUUUUGUCGCAUCUCAAAGUUUAAAAAUAAAGUAUAGACUAAAUUUUAAAUUUCAAAAAAGUAAAGGGAUGUUAAUGGUAAUUUCAUUAACCAAAAGUCGUGGCAACGCUUCCCUGGUCUUCUCUCUCGCUCCGACUUUUUAAUCGAGUUUGCAGUCGACCGUAAGCCGGUAUUUAAUUAAGAUCUUUCUCUCCAAUGGAUUUCAUCAUUUCUUCACCAUUAACACAGCAGCAGCUCCUUCUCUUCUCUUCUCUACACCACAUCAAAGCAGUGAGUUGCUAUUUCAAUUCAUUUCCUAUCACUUUCUGUACAUCUAUUGCUUUGAUUUUUGCUAAAUUUAUAAUUUCAUAUCCGUUUGAGCAAGAUGAUUGUCACUUUCUUGCUUGUUUCUGUUUUUGUUCUAAAUUAGGAAAAACUUUGAUUGUUUUAGAUUCAGAAAUUUGAUUUGAGUUAAAAUUUUCAGAUCCGUGAAAGAUGACGAAUUGGUCUAGUCUCAGAGGCCAGAGGGAUAUCGUUAUGAUACCCACACCUGGAGCGCCAAAUGGUGCUGAUGGACAACCAUCGGCCGAUCAUUAUCAGGUGAAUUCCUCAAGCUCGAUGUUGACCGGAGGAAAGAAAAGAAGUCAGAAAGUUAAAGGAAAAGGAAAAUGCAUCAAGAAGCAGUGCCUGCCCCGGGUAACCGGUGGAGAAGAGAGUGUGGGAGAGCUUACUGUAGAGCAUAGUGGGAAAAACUUGACUGACCAAAUCAACAGAAGGGCGUGUAAAUUAAAUUUUGUAUAUUAAAUCAAGAGAAAAUCAAUUCUUUUUUGUUAAAAAUUCUGUUCGGUUGUACUGUUAAAAUUUAGCGUAAUUAACAUAUAAAUGACCGAUUUAAUAGUAGAAAUAAAUAAAAUUUCUAACAAAAGCAUUAAUUUGUUCUUUAAUCUGAUAUACAUAGAUUAAUUUACUCGUUUUUUAACAGAAAGGAUAGUUUUACCAAUAUUUUAGAGAGCAUCAUUGUUAAAUAAAUGCAAUUUUUACCUUUUUUUUUUUUAAAUACAAGUGCUUGACUACCCAUUUCUUUAUUGAAUAAACAUUUUUUUUUCUGAAACGUUUGAAAUGAUUAUAACUUUUAUGUAACCAGCAUUAUACUCAUUAUCUAUACAAUUUGCUUUCCAUUUUUCCAUGUUGAACCCUAUUUAGCAUUUCCAUUCUUACUUUCUCAUUUUAAUAGUCCUUUACUAACUUUUUACCUAAAGCUUAUUAUUGGAACCCACCCAUUGUUUGAAAAGUCAAAAAGGGUGGGCACCGAAAGUAGAAAGUAAGAUUAGUUGGCAAGUUGGGUUAAAAGUUGGCAUGGGAUAAUUGUAAUUUUGGUCCCUAAUUGUAUAGGGACAUUGCAAGUUGAUCCUUGAACCUCAACUAUAAAUAGGCCUAACUAUUUCUUACUUUCUUCAUCCCAUAAUUGCCAUUCUCUACUUAAGGCAUUAUUCUCUCUCUCUAUUUGUAAAUUUCACUUGUAAUUUUUGGAGUGAAAUAUAUUUGGUAGUGCCCGAGGACGUAGGCAAAAUUUGCUGAACCUCGUUAAAAUUCUGGUGUUCUUUAUUAUUUAUUUUGCAUAUUUUGUGAAUGUGAUUGUAGUAAUUUAUUGUGCUAUUAAAUUACGAUAGAGGGAUAUUCUGGCUAGGAAAGACUUGGUAUUUAAGUGAUUUUCGUGAUCUACCUCUCUUUCCUGGGAAUUGAACUUAGUGUGAUUUUUCAGUACAAUAUUUUUACUCUUUCACACGCUUCCGCGCAACAAUUGGUAUUAGAGCCAGAUUCGUACUUGGGGAAUACGACCAUUUACGGCACUAUUCACGUAUAUGGUACUAUUCACGUAUACAGUACUGUUCACGUAUACAGUAGUUGGGAUUGAGGAGAAAAAUGGCAGCAGCAUCGUCAUCAGCAAGGACUACCGUGACAAAUGUAAAAUUUGAAGUAGAGAAAUUUGACGGUACUAAUAAUUUUGGUAUGUGGCAAUGUGUGAUCCUGGAUGUCUUAUGUCAGCAAGAGCUAGAUAUAGCCCUUGAAGAAAAACCUAACAAGAUGGAUGACAAGGAGUGGGCCAAGAUCAAUAGACAGGCGUGUGGUACAAUCCGCCUAUGUUUGGCCAAAGAGCAGAAGUACUUUGUCAUGAGGGAGACAUCAGCGAAGAAGUUAUGGGAUAUACUGGAAGAAAAGUUUCUAACGAAAAGUCUUGAAAAUAGGUUUUAUAUGAAAAAGAAACUUUAUCGAUUCACGUAUGCACCCGGUAUGUCGAUGAAUGACCAUGUGAACUCAUUCAAUAAAAUUUUAGCAGACUUGCUAAAUUUGGAUGAGAAAUUUGAAGAUGAAGACAAGGGAUUAUUGUUGUUGAAUUCCCUUCCUGAUGAAUAUGAUCAUCUUACCACCACAUUGCUUCAUGGGAAGGACACGAUCACAUUUGAUGUAGUCUGUAGUGCGUUGUAUAGAUCUGAGACUCGAAAGAAAGAUAAAAGAGAUCACAGAGAUACAACUGCAGAAGUCUUAACAGUAAGAGGUCGUUCACGCAGCAGCAAAUCUGGUAAAAGGGGAAAGUCCAAAGGGAGACUCGCCAAAGAUGAAUGUGCUUUUUGCCGUGAAAAAAGGGCAUUGGAAAAAGAAUUGUCCUAAGUUACAAAAGGGCAAGGCUAUUUCUAAUGCAUGUGUAGUGGAGCAUGAUGAGGAGUCAGACUUUAGCUUGGUUGGCAUAGCAAUGGCAUGUCAAACGGAUGAGUGGAUUUUGGAUUCAGGAUGUACUUACCAUAUGUGUCCUAAUAAGGACUGGUUUUCUAGUCUUAAAGAGCUAGAAGGUGGAAUUGUUCUUAUGGGCAAUGAUAGUGCUUGUAAGACAAUGGGAGUGGGUACAGUCCAAUUGAAGAAUCACGACGGCUCAAUCCAAGUCUUGACAGAUGUUCGCUACGUACCUAGCUUGAAGAAAAAUCUCAUCUCAUUAGGGGCCCUAGAAUCUAAACGGCUCACAAUCACUUUGAGAGAUGGAUUACUAAAAGUAGUAGCUGGGCAACUGACGGUGAUGAAAGGCACAAGAAGAAAUAACUUGUACUUUUUAAAUGGAAGUACAGUUAUUGGAUCAACAUCAACAGUUUCUACAAAAGAUGUAGAUUCAGAGGCUACCAGAUUUUGGCAUAUGCGAUUGGGACAUGCUGGUGAAAAAGCUUUGCAGACAUUGGCGAAGCAAGGCUUGUUGAAAGGUGCAAAUUCUUGCAAAUUGGAAUUCUGUGAACAUUGUGUUCUGGGUAAGCAAAAGAGGGUAAAAUUUGGUCCAGCAAUUCACAAUACGAAAGGAAUUCUGGACUACGUUCACAGUGAUAUGUGGGGACCUACCAAAGUGGCUUCUUUGGGAGGUAUGCACUAUUUUGUUACUUUUGUUGAUGAUUAUUCAAGAAAAGUAUGGGUGUAUCUAAUAAAAAGAAAAAGUGAAGUUUUGGAUGCAUUUCUGAAAUGGAAAAAGAUGGUGGAGACUCAGACUGGUCGAAAGGUCAAACGACUUCGAUCAGAUAAUGGCACUGAGUACAAAAAUGAUCCAUUUCUACAAGUAUGUCAAGAUGAGGGCAUUGUGCGACACUUCACUGUUCGGGAUACACCACAGCAGAAUGGGGUGGCAGAACGCAUGAAUCGAACUAUACUGGAGAAAGUUCGAUGUAUGUUGUCCAAUGCUGGAUUGGGCAAGGAAUUUUGGGCUGAGGCAGUUACAUAUGCGUGCCAUCUAAUUAACCGUUUGCCAUCAGCUGCAAUAAAUGGAAAAACUCCUAUAGAGAUAUGGACUGGUAAAUCUGCUACUGAUUAUGAUUCUUUGCAUGUAUUUGGUUCCACUGCAUAUUAUCAUGUAAAAGAAUCUAAGUUAGACCCAAGAGCAAAGAAAGCAUUAUUCUUGGGUAUAACUGAUGGAGUAAAAGGAUACCGUCUCUGGUGUCCUGAUACAAGGAAGAUUGUUUUUAAUAGAGAUGUGACUUUUGAUGAAUCAACCAUGUUAAAGUACAAGGAUUCACAAAAGGAUGACAAAACCAGUAGUACUUUGCAGCAGGUGGAGCUUGAAAAGGUUAACGAUGAUCCAGCUAAUAUUGAAGGGACAAAUGAUGAAGAGGUUCCUACCCAAGAACCUCUACAGCAACAAGAUUCAAUUGCAUAUAGGAGGCCAAGAAGAGAGAUUCGUAAGCCUGCUCGCUUUGAUGAUAUAGUGGCCUAUGCACUUCCAAUUGCAGAUGAUGAUGUUCCUUCUACUUACACAGAAGCAAUAAGUAACCCUGAUGGUGUAAAGUGGAAGCAAGCAAUGAAUGAAGAAAUGCAGUCUCUUCAUAAAAAUAGGACCUGGGAGUUGGUGACACUGCCCAAGGGAAAGAAGGCAAUUGGAUGCAAAUGGGUAUAUGCAAAGAAGGAAUGAUUUCCUGGUAAAAAUGAAAUUCGAUACAAGGCUAGAUUGGUAGCAAAGGGUUACGCUCAGAAAGAAGGAAUAGACUACAAUGAAGUGUUUUCUCCAGUUGUGAAGCAUUCGUCUAUUCAGAUUUUGCUAGCCUUGGUUGCGUAAUAUGAUCUUGAACUAGUUCAGCUUGAUGUGAAGACCGCAUUUUUACACGGUGAUUUGGAAGAGGAAAUCUAUAUGACUCAGCCAGAUGAAUUUAAGGUUUCUGGAAAAGAAAAUUGGGUUUGCAAACUGACAAAGUCGCUUUAUGGAUUGAAGCAAUCUCCGAAACAGUGGUACAAGCGAUUUGAUCAGUUCAUGAAAGGGCAAAGGUACACAAGAAGUAAAUUUGAUCAUUGCGUGUAUUUUCAGAAGCUACAAGAAGGAACUUUCAUAUACUUGCUCUUAUAUGUUGAUGAUAUGCUAAUAGCAUCUAUACUUGAGGCAUUAUUCUCUCUCUCUAUUUUUAAAUUUCACUUGUAAUUUUUGGAGUGAAAUAUAUUUGGUAGUGCCCGAGGACGUAGGCAAAAUUUGCUGAACCUCGUUAAAAUUCUGGUGUUCUUUAUUAUUUAUUUUGCAUAUUUUGUGAAUGUGAUUGUAGUAAUUUAUUGUGUUAUUAAAUUACGAUAGAGGGAUAUUCUGGCUAGGAAAGACUUGGUAUUUAAGUGAUCUUCGUGAUCUACCUCUCUUUCCUGGGAAUUGAACUUAGUGUGAUUUUUCAGUACAAUAUUUUUACUCUUUCACACGCUUCCGCGCAACACUUAUAAAUAGGGGUUUGAAUGUUUUGUUGGGGGACUUUUGGAUAUUGUGUCAAAUUUAGAACUUUAUAAUUUUAUCGGUAACUUUCUAUCUACAAUUAGAACAACCACUGUAGCUCUCAUUUUUCUCAGUCCAUUAUCACCACUUGUUUAGAGUUUACCUUAAUAUUCCUCUCCACUAUUUCUCCAAGAUAUUUCAUUUUGUUAGAUUAUAACGUUUUCUCAUUUUGCUAACAAAACCCUUUACACCUUCCUUGAAGUGCCUUUUCUCAACUGACAAUAUAGCUAAGGACAGUUUUAGAAAAAUACUUGGUACGGUCCGAAAAUCCUUGCAGUAACAAUGAUGAUAAAAUCAUGAGAAUGGUUUUUAUCUCCGUAGUAGACACUAACAAUACCUAGUAGUCACCUUUUUUUUUUCAAAGAAAAAGCUGUAAGAAUUGUUUAUCUCCAAAAAAAGCAAUAUCUUGAAAUGUGUAUUCCUAUCACAUGUUUCUUAAUACUUGUUUAUAUUUGGUGAAAUGUAGGACGACAUGGCAUAUAUGGAAUCUGUGAUCUUGAUUUUCCAUCAGAUGAUAGAGAUGAAAGCCUCUCCUCUCUUGCCAAAAGUUCUCGGCUCCCACAAGCAAAUCAAAUCGCAAUGUCCAAUUCGAUCUGAUCUUGAUGACAUUAAGCGAAAGGUCCUUGAAAUCGAGCUCGAGUUCAAGGACACUGAUUUGACAGAUGAGGCAAAGCGAAGAUUACUUGAAUUAGAAGAGGAGUUUAAAAGAUUAGAUCAAAAAUGGAUGAAGGUACGGUAUUGUUUACAAAUUUAAUUACCACAUUUAGUUUCAUGAUGUAACAUAUUAUUCUGACUCUGUAACUUGGUUUUUCAGGACAUGACAAAAGCUGGGAACCUUGAUGCAAUCUUCACUAAUAAUAUGGUAUGCACAUAAACGUUUCUUAUGAUUGAUAUUAACCUAGAUUAUUAUUCUUGAAUAAAAUGAUCAUUUCUCAUUUAUAAAUCACAUUAUAAUUAUAUUUUUCUUUCCUCAUUCAUUAGACUUGUUUUUUAGAUAGUAAAAAUGAUAAAAAUAUCAUAGAGGGUCUUGUACUAAAAAUCAGAUUAUAUUUUAUCUGCUCUAAAAAAGAUAGGAGAAUUAGUCAUUAUAUGUAAUAUCAGAGCAAAUGGCUCCAUUUGUUAUAAAUUUUUAUUUAGAUCUUUUAUAUAAUUUUUAAAAUUUUAAAUUAAUAAAAAGAAAAUUAUUUUUUAAUUAUUUUUUUAAAAAAUAAAAAAUUAAUUUAAUUCUUUAAAAAGUAUAAGAAUACGAGUUAACACAUAAACUUUCUCUUAUGUAGUCAAUUUUUAAUUUGAAAUUUAUUUUUAUGUGGAUAAUGUCAUGCCGUGGACCAUGGUUUGACAGACGCCACACAUGUAAGAAUGCUAUCGAUUCGAUUUUGGAUUCGGUAUUUUUUUUUAAUUUUUUUUUGCUUCGAAAACUGGUAUUCAUUAAUAAAGGAAUUGGCUGAAGAAAAUAUCUGACAACACAAACACUCCAAAGAAAAUGAAAAGACAACAGAAGUAGAUACUGCCAAAACAAAACAGGAAAAUGAAAGAACACCGAAAAUCAAAAACCAAAAACCAGAAAACACAAGCAAUCCCCAAAAGAACAACCAACAAAGAAUACCAGUCAAAACCUUUCCGUUUAUCAUCAGAAAACCAUCGCAGCCAAAACGGUAAAGGAAACAGCUUUGAAAAACCAACAUUGGAGAUUCAAAGAACCUUCUCCAAACUUCAAAGCCCAACGGAAACACCUCAUCGCUGAAGUAACCAAUCAGACCAGUCCUCUGCCACCAAUUUUCCAACAGAAGCUGAUGCCUCUUCAACCAAAAAACAUAGUGUAACAAAAUGAGUUUGAUUUUAUGAUUUUUGAAUAUUAUUUUACAAAAUUUUAAAAUAUUUUUAAAAAACAAAUAACUUUUCAAGAAGUAUUGGAUAAUUUUUACUACUUUAAAUAUAAAAUAUUUUUAUAUCAUAAAAAUUAAAAUUAAUUAUUAAAUAAAAAAUGUAAUUCGGAUUAAUUUCGUGUAAUCCUAUUUUUUAAACAUACAUUUUAUAAAUAUCCCAAAUAGGACCAAAGACUAUGGAGGACUGAAACUGCAAGGUAUGUACAUUUGAAAGCGCGGAGGCCAGGUUGGACCGCGCGAAAGUGAGCCGAGCGGACGACGGCGGUUAAGUGUGGAAUAAUGUUACUUUAAAAUUUUAAAGACAAUAAAAAUACUUUCACUUUGUGGCUUUCAAAUGUACAUACAUUGCAGUUUCAGUCCUCCAUAGUCUUUGGUCUAUACGAUUUAGGCUUUGAUUUCAGUUUUAUUUAUUCAAUUCAAUCCCUAUUAUUAUUAUUUAUUUUAGUUAUUUUUAUUAAUUAUUUAUUUACUUUUAUUUAAAAACUUUUAUUUGCAUUCUUGACAUCACAAUGUCUGACCCAGAUCUCUUUAUUAUUUUGAACCAUUUUUAACCUUUCAAAGUCCGUUUUGGUCUCGAACACCUCUGAACAUUCAGAAAUUAAUUUUUAAAUGAUUUCAAUUUGAUCUUAAAUUCCUAAAAUUGAAUCUAUCUACUUCCUAAGAUUUUAUAUAUAUAUAUAUAUAUAUAUAAACAAUAUUGUAAAACUUAGUCUAAUUUCUUACUGAAUGGUCCUAUACUGUUUUGAGCUUUUUUAAUGUCUCGAGACCCGUUACAAGUUAUGAACACCUUCAACCCACCUCAAACCAUUUUAAAAUGAUUUUAUAUUAUUUUAAAAUCAUCCAAAAAUUCAAAUUUGAUUUAACGAUUUAACAAAAGUAUUUUUAAAUUACAACUCUUCAAUGAUUUUGAGGAUUUUGACUUGUAUAGGUUCUGGUAGCAUCUUCUGUCUGUACCAACGGUAGAAUGGGUGGGAGGUGUUACAUUGUGGCAUCUCAAAGUUUAAAAAUAAAGUACAGACUAAAUUUUAAAUUUCAAAAAAUAAAAGGAUGUUAAAAGUAAUUUAUUAACCAAAAGUCAAAUGUGGUCAUGCUUCCCUGGUCUUCACUCUCGCUCCAACUUUCUAAUCGAGUUCUUAAGCCUGUAUUUAAUUAAGAUCUUUCUCUCCAAUGGAUUUCGUCAUUUCUUCACCAUCAACACAGCAGCAGCAGCUCCUUCUCUUCUCUUCUCUACACCACAUCAAAGCAGUGAGUUGCUAUUUCAAUUCAUUUCCUCUCACUUUCUGUACAUCUAUUGCUUUGAUUUUUGCUAAAUUUAUAAUUUCAUAUCCGUUUGAGCAAAUUUUGUUAGUUUAUGAUUGUCACUUGCUUGCUUGUUUCUAUUUUUGUUCUAAAUUAGGAAAAACUUUGAUUGUUUUAGAUUCAGAAAUUUGAUUUGAGUUAAAAUUUUCAGAUCCGUGAAAGAUGACGAAUUGGUCUAGUCUCAGAGGCCAUAGGGAUAUCGUUACGACACCCACACCUGGAGCGCCAAAUGGUGCUGAUGGACAACCAUCGGCCUAUCAUUAUCAGGUGAAUUCCUCAAGCUCGAUGUUGACCGGAGAGAAGAAAAGAAAUCAGAAAGCUAAAGGAAAAGGAAAAUGCAUCAAGAAACAGUGCCUGCCCCGGGUAACCGGUGGAGAAGAGAGUGUGGGAGAGCUUACUGUAGAGCAUAGUGGGAAAAAC
rnacentral:lncRNA from 1 species